GACGUAGGGCGCGAGCGUUGUCCGGAUUUAUUGGGCGUAAAGAGCUCGUAGGCGGCUUGUUACGUCGUUCGUGAAAACUUGGGGCUCAACCCCAAGCUUGCGGUCGAUACGGGCAGGCUAGAGUUCGGUAGGGGAGACUGGAAUUCCUGGUGUAGCGGUGAAAUGCGCAGAUAUCAGGAGGAACACCAGUGGCGAAGGCGACUUCCUGGCCUGUUCUUGACGCUGAGGCGCGAAAGCUAGGGGAGCAAACGGG
rnacentral:rRNA from 1 species